ACUCCUUUCUGCACCUGGCAGCUUCGCAGGAAUGAGAGCCAAGAAACGAGUGCAGACAGCUCUAGCAGCAGCUAUCCACACUGUGAAUGUCUCUGCACAGGGGUCCAAGUUGGAAGGCAUCUCAAGCUGCAAUCUGACCCAUUUAUGUGUGGUCCAAGUACAAAACAGCUGCAGAUUGCAGUGAAGAGGACGAGUGACAGCCCAAAGUCCCAAAGGUAGUACCAAAAAAAAAGGUCAAGAAAAAACCACCGGCUUUAACUUUAAGCACAACGGCAUGAUGUGCUGACAGCCACACGGCCAAGUUCAGUGCCUCUGAUGGACACGGGGCAGAGGGGAGCUGCAGAUGGUUUCAUGGAGGUGCAGGGGAAGGUUUCAGUGCAAAGGGCUCGAGGUCUCUAUUUAUAGUUGAAAUAGCGUAGCAGCAAGCAUAAUGUGAUGCCUCCGCAGCUGCCUGCCAAUGACGCACAGUCGAAGUACAGCUUUUUGAGUGUGUGUGGAAACAUACGUGUAUGGAAACAUUUCCAGAUGAAGAGACCGAGGAAAAUACUACUCGAGGAUAAUUGUGCUCACUUCUGUGGUGGCCUGCAAGCACAGCAUGAUGGAGCCAACCACUUCUAUCCUUGGAAAAUCAUCAGGAUGUACAAGCUGC
rnacentral:lncRNA from 1 species